ACAGCUCAGUGCUUGCAUAGCUGAGCAGGACAGCCUCCUACAGUGCUUUGGGUCCUUCCAACUCAUCUCUAAGCACAAUUUUUCCUUUGCUAUGCCCAAAUCUAUCCUUAUACCUGUCACAGAACAGAGACUGAUUUUUAUCUACUCCUCCAAAAAAUAGAAGAGCAAAAGCUUUGCUUUAGAUUUUUGUUGUUGUUCUGUUUGUUUUAAAAACACAUGCUGAUAAGCUACAGCUGUAGGCCAGGCAGCCCAAAGUAAAGUUGAAACAGCUGUGAGUGAUGGGGUAGCAAACCUUGUGAUGAAUAAUGCAUUGGUAAUGAGUAGCACAAUUGCAGAGACACUUGCAAUCAGCAAGAUCUUCAGCCUGAAUUUUCACUGUUGAAAUUAAAAGCAAAUUUCCUUAACAACAAGCUAGAGCAGGAAACACUGUCCAGAAACAACAUUGCCUACAUCCACCAACCCCUGUGAGGAGAGCUGUGUAUAUGGUGUGGGUGCUGUGUGAGGUGAACCAAUCUUCUGGGGUACACUUCUGCCCCAAGUGUGAGGGACACGCUUUGCUUAUGGCCUUGCAAACAAACUCCUCAGAAACAAAAUGGCACUGUGUAGCCUUGUGAGGCUGGCUAGGGCAUCCCAUGAAGAGAACAUGAAGAGACAGCCCAGGGUUUUUGAAACAUAGGACACAGGCUGGACUGUGGCGGACAUUUAACAGAGAGAGCUUAGUGAAACACCUCAUGAGGGCUGCUUUCAUUCCCUACAGCUGAAAAUGUUUGUCAGCUUUAUUCCAAGUGGACCCUCUUUGCUCUGUCUAGUCGUAUUUUGGUGCUUCCCUCACAGGCUUGCCCAAGCAAGCCUCACCUGCCCUCCUCACAGGGCGGGAGGGGGCUGCAGGCCAGGCCCUGCACACCUGCACCCAUUGCUCCAUCACAGCCCCACGCCAGGUGCCAGGCCUGUGGAGGGGCUGCAGUCCUGAGGCACUCUCCAGAGCAGCGUGGCACAGCAGAGCGGGCAGGGGCUCCCUCACGGUAAACAGUGGCACAGAAACUGGAUUUUGAGAGACAUGCAGCCUGAUUCUGAAAUUCACAUGACAGCUCUUCAGGGAGCCAGGGUCAAAGGCAGUUUCUGAGUUGGAAGGGAGGACUAGUGACCGAGAAGCCAUGGGGAUAAAUUCAGACCUGGUGUAAGCAUAUGAAGCAUUGCUGAAGUCAAGAGAGUCGUGACCAGUUACAGCAAAGCUGAAUUGGACUCCUGAGUUUUGCUGAAGUGGCUUUCAUGUAAGAAUACAUAGGCCAAAGGGCUAGCUGAGGGCAUUUCCAGGGCGUCAAAUACACAGUGCAGAUGUGGAUUGUUUUUGCAUUUUUGCCAGUGAUUUUUCUUUUAAUGCCUAAAACUGUAAUUAGGUGAAAUGAAUACACUACUAACUUUCCUGAUAAAAAAUGGGAGUUUCCUUUAUGUUCCAUAUAGAAGUCAUUAGUGGUGGGGAAGAGAGCUAUUUGUGAACAGGAAGGGAUCUAAUACACAUAUGAGCGUUCAGCUCUUCUGCUGUGAAUCAGUGUUAUAUUUCUGGUGAUGGUACAGUAGCAAGAAUAAUGCUGCACUACUUUGUAACUAAACGUACCUACUAUGGAAGGGUGAUUAUAAGAUUCUCUGGUAGUAAAGACAAAGUACUUGGUAGCCAAGUACUUCGGGGGGGAAGGAAUGUGUACAGAGUUCCUGGUAGCAAAGUGUGUUCUGACCAAUAUCAAUGUUGCUUUGCUGUCAAAGGGAAAGAGUAAUAUAGGAGUGGUACCUACUGAAGUAGCUCAACUGAUGUCUUGCUAGAGUUGUAAAUGAUUCAUCCGUUCAUAAUAAUUUCAUGAAACUGAGGGUUUGCUCAGAAGAGUUAGUGUUUCAUAAACAACUUAUUUGUCUCUACUGUUUAUGGUUUUGAUUCUACAUCUGAAGUGUGGAAAUAUAAAAUGUUUCUACCCCUUCUCCUUUCAACAUUUUCGCCAAGCAGCCGAUCAAUGUCUUCUGCCAUACUAUUAAAUGGAUUUUGAAAAACUCUUCAAACCGUAUCAGCCUCAUAUCCUUAUUUAGUUCUUCGAAUUUGCCCUCAGCUGGGAAUUCUGCAGGCAACUGUGAUUCUGUUGUGUUAAACACUUGAAGUGUUUCAUUCAUCAUCAUUUCUAGUCCUUUUCUGAUGCAAUGUAGUUUGUGCUUUGUCUUUCUUGAAAACUGAAUGGCUGUUAAAUUAUCCAUUUAUCUUCCUUCAGAUUUGCUGUACAAUUUGAGUUCCCGCUAUUGGCUGUCUCUUCUACCUUAUCUGCCAACUUUUCAAUCUACUUCCUCAGAUCUUUAUAUGCAUUUCCAUACGCGACUGCAUGUCCUUCGCAACACAUUGAGCAGAUAAUCCUAAAUAAAACAGCAACAGAAACUGUAGUAUUAUGAAUUAUUCACUUCUCUCAGAUCAUGGUGAAAGCCUCAUUGAAGCCAAGCUUCAAUGAAGUUGAUGGCAAAUGUUCAUUAUUCUGUAUUCUCUCAAAUAUCUCGGUUGUUGACCUGCCCUUUCAGUUGAGAUCUUUCUGGCAUUAGAUAACUGAGAAGUAAUUUGAAGAAGUACACUUGUCUGAAGGGAAAAAUGUUUCUUCUGUCCCUUCUUUCAACCAAUUUGGGAAAACUGGUACAUUCCUGAAGUUGUCAACACUAAUACAAUGUUUCAUCAGUAAUCUCACCAAGUUACAAAAAUCCUAACAAAAAUAAUUUCCAAAGCCAAAAAGAAGCCCUGCCUGCUCUCAGGAAAUGAAAAAGAGGAUGAAGAUCUUUGUGUCUCUUGUAAAAAGCUGUUUGUGAUACUUACUGGCACAAAAAUCCUUGUUCCAAAACCAGCAAAAUUGUGCCUUUCCAUAUCACACUUAGUGACUGACUUUCAAAAUUACAAGUAAAAGCAUUCCUUCUUCUUUUUCUGGUUUUCUUUUAUUGUAUAGCUCUUCACCUUUUCUCUCCAUUAGUAUAUGAGUAGCACAAAAAAUAGACUCUUAGGUUAAGAAUAAAGAGGUAACAAAAACAGUCUGCUGAUGAUUUAUCCCAUUACUGUAAGCUGUAAUACAGUCAGAGUACCUGAGUUUUCUGAGAGUUCAAGAGCAUUUAUUCCAGGUAGCCUCGCUUAUGUUCAUCAUUGGUAGACAAGCAGCAAGGGCAACAAAUGUGCUGAACCCAGCCACAUUGCUAUUUCAAGGCUACAGAGAGAUCCUUCUGCAGUGCAAAGUCUCUUUUCUCUGUGACAAACCCUCAUCCCUAACAUAAUCUUUAGCUACCAACUCCCCUCCAGCGCUGGCAUGUGGCAUAAUUUGCCUGAUUAAAUUUCCUCUGAACC